UACGUAGGUGGCGAGCGUUGUCCGGAUUUACUGGGCGUAAAGGAUGCGUAGGCGGAUAUUUAAGUGGGAUGUGAAAUCCCCGAGCUUAACUCGGGGGCUGCAUUCCAAACUGGAUAUCUAGAGUGUCGGAGGGGAAAGUGGAAUUCCUAGUGUAGCGGUGAAAUGCGUAGAGAUUAGGAAGAACACCAGUGGCGAAGGCGACUUUCUGGACGAUAACUGACGCUGAGGCAUGAAAGCGUGGGGAGCAAACAGG
rnacentral:rRNA from 1 species